UGGAAUACAUUUCUUUUCUUCAUAUUCACAGAAAGCAGCAGUAGCAUUGACCAGGCAAAUAUAGUGCACAAACAUGUGCUCCAUCUAGAACAAGAGCUUCCUAAAUGGUGAUGAGUAUCCUGAGAUCUGCCCAGAGCCUCAUGGGUGGUACUCAGCAGGGCCCAGUGUGAGGCCAGCUCCUCUGUCACCAGACGCUGGGCUUUCUACAAUUUCUCCACAGUGCUACCAAGAAGCCAAGAUGCUUUGCCAGCUCCUGUUUCUCAGUCUGAUCCUCUUCGAGCUCAAGCCAGUGGGAUGCAGUGGAAAGAACCCCGAAUUUCAAGAUGGCAGGAGAGCAUAUAGCGUGAGCAGGGCCGCUGCCCUACCUCGCUGUGUUUUGUAGCGAAGAGCGACAAUGUGGAGUAGCUGGGGAGCUGGGUUCGAACCCCGGCUCUGCUAUCUCUGCUUGGGUGAUCAUGGGUGAGUCACUGAGCACCUGCCUCCCAGGGUGGCUGCAAGAUUAAAAUGAAUUAAUAUUUG